rnacentral:rRNA from 1 species
ACACAUGCAAGUCGAACGGAGAAUUUUAUUUUGGUAGAAUUCUUAGUGGCGAACGGGUGGGUAACGCGUAGGCAACCUACCCUUUAGACGGGGACAACAUUCCGAAAGGAGUGCUAAUACCGGAUGUGAUCAUCUUGCCGCAUGGCAGGAUGAAGAAAGAUGGCCUCUACAAGUAAGCUAUCGCUAAAGGAUGGGCCUGCGUCUGAUUAGCUAGUUGGUAGUGUAACGGACUACCAAGGCGAUGAUCAGUAGCCGGUCUGAGAGGAUAAACGGCCACAUUGGGACUGAGACACGGCCCAAACUCCUACGGGAGGCAGCAGUGGGGAAUCUUCCGCAAUGGACGAAAGUCUGACGGAGCAACGCCGCGUGAGUGAUGAAGGAUUUCGGUCUGUAAAGCUCUGUUGUUUAUGACGAACGUGCAGUGUGUGAACAAUGCAUUGCAAUGACGGUAGUAAACGAGGAAGCCACGGCUAACUACGUGCCAGCAGCCGCGGUAAUACGUAGGUGGCGAGCGUUGUCCGGAAUUAUUGGGCGUAAAGAGCAUGUAGGCGGCUUAAUAAGUCGAGCGUGAAAAUGCGGGGCUCAACCCCGUAUGGCGCUGGAAACUGUUAGGCUUGAGUGCAGGAGAGGAAAGGGGAAUUCCCAGUGUAGCGGUGAAAUGCGUAGAUAUUGGGAGGAACACCAGUGGCGAAGGCGCCUUUCUGGACUGUGUCUGACGCUGAGAUGCGAAAGCCAGGGUAGCGAACGGGAUUAGAUACCCCGGU